AUUCACUUUAUACGCAUAGAGGUAAAAUUGAGUGGCGACGGGUAGAGUUGAUAUAAAGUUAUACCGUGGUAAAAUGUCAAAAUACUGCUUUACCGACAGUAUUAAAAAUAGAAACAUUCAAAAAGCUUUGCGCAGCUCUCUCUUUCUGGGGAGAGUGCUUUUCACGCUGAGAUUAUGUUUUUGAAAGCUUAUUUGUGAUUUUUUGUUGAGUUCCUCUAGAUUGGAGAUUUUAAACGGCGUGUUGAAUUGAAUUUUUAUGAGAUGUUUCUCCUUGAUGCGCUGCGCCAACCGUCUCGUCCGUUCUGAAAUAUGUAUGAACAGUUGAUGUUUUUCAAUACAGUCAGUCAGAACAACUUUAUUUUACUCAGGGAAAAUAAAAACACCUGGCAGGUUAAAUAGGAGCAUUUAUUCUUCACUUAGCUACAAAGGUUAAUCACGAUAUAACGCACUUGUAUAUUUACUUUUUUCAUCCUUUAUUCCUCAUUAAUUACAUUUCCUGAGUUUGUAAAAGGAAACAUGCACAGCGUCACAAAAAAGCCACCACAAAAAUGUCAGCACUCUCUCUCGCGGCGACCUCCCUUCGGCGAGGCAAAUCGGACGGGAUCGGCAUCACGUCUUCGAUGCGGCCAGGGCUCAGAGUGCCGACUAGGCACCCGGUCCUGGCGUCUUGGAGCGGUUUCCGCCGAUGGCAUGCAGCUUCCGCCGGUGUGCGCGCCGUGGUGAUUCUGAGCGACUUUUCAGCGACGCCCUGAGCGGCCAACGAAGCGGCUCGCCCUCGCGGACCUACGGUUCGAGCACACAGCAAAACCUGGACCUCCUCCUUUCCGGAUUUUGUUUUUGCCAUCGCAGCUAGAAAUAAGAAUAAUUUUAAACAAAACCUAGUUAAAUUUAAUGUAAUAAACUCACCUUUUUUAUAGA